rnacentral:tRNA from 1 species
GGGGUUGUGGCUCAGUGGUAGAGCACUUGCCUAGCACGUGUGAGGCACUGGGUUCGAUCCUCAGCAUCACAU